CUUAUUGAGAGUUUGAUUCUGGCUCAGGAUGAACGCUGGCGGCGUGUCUAAGGCAUGCAAGUCGAGUGGGUUUAGACCCACGGCAAACGGGUGCGUAACACAUUGGUAACUUACCCCGAAGUCANNNNNNNNNNNNNNNNNNNNNNNNNNNNNNNCCGCCUCACUGGGACUGAGACACUGCCCAGACUCCUACGGGAGGCUGCAGUCAAGAAUAUUCCCCAAUGGCCGAAAGGCUGAGGGAGCGACGCCGCGUGUAUGAAGAAACCCUUCGGGGUGUAAAGUACUUUUAAUCGGGACGAAACAAUGACGGUACCGAUUGAAUAAGGGGCUGCUAAACUCGUGCCAGCAGCAGCGGUAAUACGAGUGCCCCAAGCGUUAUCCGGAUUUAUUGGGCGUAAAGCGUACGUAGGUGGUUUAUCGCAUCUCCUGUUAAAUCCCGAGGCUCAACUUCGGGGCUGCGGGAGAGAUGGCUAAACUAGAGACCGGGAGAGGUAAGCGGAAUUGCUGGUGUAGGGGUUAAAUCCGUUAAUAUCAGCAAGAACACCUAAUGUGAAGACAGCUUACUAGAACGGUUCUGACACUAAGGUACGAAAGCGUGGGGAGCGAAUGGGAUUAGAUACCCCAGUAGUCCACGCCGUAAACGAUGGAUGCUAAGCUUUGGCAGUAUCGACCCUGCCAGUGCUGUCUACCUAAGUUAACACCUUAAGCAUCCCGCCUGGGGAGUACGAGCGCAAGCUUAAAACUCAAAGAAAUAGACGGGGACCCGCACAAGCGGUGGAGCAUGUGGUUUAAUUCGACGAUAAGCGAGGAACCUCACCAAGGUUUGACAUCUAGCUGCAGAGCCCUGGAAACAGGGCAGCCUUCGAGGGUGCUAGACAGAUACUGCAUGGUUGUCGUCAGCUCGUGUCGUGAGAUGUACCGUUAAUUCGGGAAACGAGCGCAACCCCUAUCCUAUGUUUUACAUGUCAUAGGAAACUGCCCGCUUUAAGUGGGAGGAAGGCGGGGAUGACGUCAAAUCAGCAUGGUUCUUACACCUUGGGCGACACACGUGCUACAAUGGGAAGUACAAAGGGACGCCAAAGCGUAAGCUGGAGCAAAUCCUUUAAAACUUCUCUCAGUUCGGAUUGAGGUCUGCAACUCGACCUCAUGAAGCUGGAAUCGCUAGUAAACGUGAAUCAGCCACG
rnacentral:rRNA from 1 species